GUGACAGCAGCCGCGGUAAUACGUAGGGUGCAAGCGUUAAUCGGAAUUACUGGGCGUAAAGCGUGCGCAGGCGGUUAUAUAAGACAGAUGUGAAAUCCCCGGGCUCAACCUGGGAACUGCAUUUGUGACUGUAUAGCUAGAGUACGGCAGAGGGGGAUGGAAUUCCGCGUGUAGCAGUGAAAUGCGUAGAUAUGCGGAGGAACACCGAUGGCGAAGGCAAUCCCCUGGGCCUGUACUGACGCUCAUGCACGGAAGCGUGGGGAGCAAACAGGAUUAGAAACCCCUGUAGUCC
rnacentral:rRNA from 1 species